CCAAGGUGUCAUCCAUCCAGCCAUCCUCUCUCUGACAUUAGCACACGUGCCCACCUCCCAUCUCUCACAUCCAAAGAGCGUAUCUCAUAUGGAACCUCUAUCCGCCUCGCUAAGUGUACCGCACUCCUCCCCAUCGUCCUUUAUAUAAAUCACAAUUCCAUGCAUUCAUCAUUCAUUCUCAUGUUCAAUUCUUGGGGACUUGAAUGAAUAUGAAUGAAGUUGGGAAAAGUAGACUACUUCCUGUGCGGGCGGAGAAGGUCUUCGUGGUGGAGAUGGAAGAAGACAGGCCCAAGGAGGCGCUCGGGGUGGGGCGGCGCCGGAAGCCGAGGACGGUGGCGACGGUGGUGGUUGGGAAGAAAGUGAGGGCGCAUAGUCAGAUUUUGAGGCUCAGAGCAGAGGAUUCUCGCCUAGGUGAAGAUGGAUUUUGUGGCACACCCCUCUUUUCAAGGCAUAUGUUACCUGCUUCGCCUCUCGGAUCCCUCCCUCUCACUUCAGGCGCAUGAAAUCAAUUUCAAAAGACACAAGAGCUGAACUGGUGAAGGUGGGGAAGCUUUGCAGUUUUGUUGGGAUCGGCAUCAAAGUUAUGUAUCCAUAAUGUACAGUAUAGACUACAGUUCAAGUAAAUAGAGGGUAGGGGCUUAGAUUAGAAUACAAAAUACUGCUGCUGCUGCUGCUGUAUCAAGUCUUUUUCUUUCAGUUUGUAGAUUUAUCAGAAUAAAUCAAGCGUUUAUAGCCCAUAAA